UACGUAGGGUGCGAGCGUUAAUCGGAAUUACUGGGCGUAAAGGGUGCGCAGGCGGUCUCGUAAGCUGGGUGUGAAAGCCCCGGGCUUAACCUGGGAAUGGCAUUCAGGACUGCGAGGCUUUGAGUGUGGCAGAGGGAGGUGGAAUUCCACGUGUAGCAGUGAAAUGCGUAGAGAUGUGGAGGAACACCGAUGGCGAAGGCAGCCUCCUGGGCCAGAACUGACGCUCAUGCACGAAAGCGUGGGGAGCAAACAGG
rnacentral:rRNA from 1 species